GUGGGGGAUAACCCGGGGAAACCCGGAUUAAUACCGCAUGAUCUCGCAAGAGCAAAGUGGGGGAUCGCAAGACCUCACGCUUUUAGAGGAACCUACGUCGGAUUAGCUUGUUGGUGAGGUAAUGGCUCACCAAGGCGACGAUCCGUAACUGGUCUGAGAGGAUGAUCAGUCACACUGGAACUGAGACACGGUCCAGAUCCUACGGGAGGCAG
rnacentral:rRNA from 1 species